UACGUAGGGGGCAAGCGUUGUCCGGAUUUACUGGGCGUAAAGAGCGUGUAGGCGGCCACGCAGGUCCGUUGUGAAAACUGGAGGCUCAACCUCCAGCUGUCGACGGAAACCGUAUGGCUAGAGUCCGGAAGAGGAGAGUGGAAUUCCUGGUGUAGCGGUGAAAUGCGCAGAUAUCAGGAGGAACACCAAUUGCGAAGGCAGCUCGCUGGGACGUUACUGACGCUGAGACGCGAAACGUGGGGAGCAAACAGG
rnacentral:rRNA from 1 species